ACCAGAACUGCCACCCUCGGGCAUUGUGGGGCAAUGAAGGUGGGUGGAGGGAAUGAGGCACCACAACAGUAUUUCCCUCUAGCAGCUCCUGGGACUGGGUUUUCUGGCAUUUCUAUCUCCCCCAAAUAUCUGUAACAGGCGGUGUUCAUAUCUCUAAAUCAGAGUUCUGGCUGCUGAGGUAGCAGGACUGAGACCGGGGCUGGACCCUGACUGAGACCCAGGAGCCAGCAGCCUCUAGCCACUCCAGUCACAGGCACAGCCCAGGGACCCACCGCCACGCCCUCCUGCAAGAUAAAGGAAGCAGCAACUCAGACAUCAGGGUGGACACACCCACCAAAACACAAGGAGAGGCCCUGAAAAGUAACUGGAAAGUCACAGACCGUUCUGGCAAGUGGAGUUGAUGAGAAACAGGCCCCAGAGACUCGGAUUGGAGCGAGAGAGUUCCAUGGGCUCAGCUGGGAAAUGAGGCACAAGGAGCCAGCCCCAGAACAGAGACCCCUCCAAAGCCAACAGCUCCAGAACCGCCUCUUGCCACAACAUUCAAUGCCCUGGCUUUGAUGUUUUGUGUCUCUUGCUGACUCACAAACUUGGGAGGUAACUGGCUUUCCCUAUCAAAAAUUACUAACCCUUGAGGGGCAAUUUCGCGAUAGCUGUCAACAUUUUCAAUGUUCAUAAUCUGGACACCAUUGAUUCUGCCUACUUUCAGGGGUUUUUCCUCAGAUAUGCCCAGACAUACACAGGAUUUCUGGAUCAUUGAUUAGGGAAAAAAUGAUGCCAUCUAAUUGUCUUUCAUCAAGAACCCACUAUUUGGCUGGGUGCAGUGGCUCACACCUGUAAUCCCAGCACUUUAAGAGGCUGAG